CUCUCUCAGACGAACGAUGCCGUCGAAGGGGAACCGAGAACCGACUGUAAACCGCCGGAGUCGAUACGGCCGGUUGUACUCCUCCCCGUCGACCGGUUAUAGUCGGUCCAUCCACCGUUUUCCCUCUCAUCAGUCGACGGCAGUUCUGCCCAAAAACCGCACCGAAGGGGUUGGUUUUCACCCCUAGUCUUUUCUUCUCUUCGGCUUUGUGGUCUUCUUUUCAAGCUUGUCUUUGGCUUUGUAGUCUUCAAGUGGAUCUGUGCUUUCUCUACAAGUGGUCUUCUUCUUCGUGGAAGGGUUGGGUCAUCUUUUUGUGGGUCAUUUGUGGUCUUCAAAGGGAUGAAGGGAGGGGGAGAGCCUGGUCUGGGUCGUGAAGAAAAACCAAAGCAAAGCUUUCGUGUUUCUUCUAGCUUUCAGGGACCAUGGGUCAUCAUUUUCGUGUGGGUCUUCUUCGUCAGCAGCUUCAUUAGGUGUAAGAUCAAGUUUUUUCUUUUCUCAGUCUACAUUUCUUCAACCGGUUCUUCCUGUAUAUUUCCUCCAUUCCGCAAGAAGAUUUAGUACUUUAAGGUCCCAAAAUUUAGUUUUUGUGUUCCUCUUUGGAGAAGAUUAGGGGUGAUUAUUACGCAUAUGUAUGGUGCUAUUAUGUUUAUAAUUGUGGAUUUUGAACUCUUAGGGUUAAGGAUUAGACUCUAAAGCCAGUAGUUAUCCUAAGUAGAAUGUCUUAAAGCAUUGGAGUGUCCUUGCGUGAUUGUUACGUUUAUGCCUUUUCAUAUUCGGCUUGAAAUUGCCCCUUGGAAGUUCGAAACCGCUCUGAGAAAAAAGAGGUCGAGGUAAAGCACAUUAUUUUCCUUUGCAACUUGAUCUUGUGUCACUCUUGCUCUUUCAUUUUUCUCCAUCACAUACCUACAUUUUUUGUUUCAGGUAUUGAUGAACCUUUUGGGUGACUGGUGUUUUUUUGGGGAUUAUUGUUAUACUACAUUAUGGAUUUGUUAGCUCCGUCUUGCUCGAAACAGUUUAAAUUGCUUAAAAUAGAUAAGGUUUUGGUCUCUUAAUUGGGUAAUAUGUAAAAUACAAUGCUUUCUUUCCCUGUUCUAUUGUCUUUGUUUUCUCUUUUUGGUACCCUCACAGGUUUUGUUGCCAUUGUUUUUUGCACAUUUCCUUCAAAAUUAAAAGGAAUUUUGUUUCUUGAUUAGAGGAAGGCGUUAGGGUCCCUUCUCUAUAUAGCCUGCUUGUCUUCACAAGCUUGUAGGUCACAAAUUAAUUGACUACAAAUAUUGAGGUUAUAAUGGAGUAAGGGUAAGCUUCUUUUCAUCAUUUUGGUCAUUGAUUUCUGCUUGCAAAAAAAUAAAAGAUCAAUUAAGAUGAUGGAUACAUUGUUAUUGACUAAUAUUAUGUGCUCUAAGAGCAUAAGGAUCUAAUGCCUGAUAUUUUCUACCUCAAAAUCUACUUGUUUUAUUGUCAACUCUUACUUCUCCCAUUAAAGCGUUGAAGUUAUUGAGCAAUAAUAUAAGAAAAAAUAAAUGUGAAAAGCAUCUGCCCAAAAUAUGCUUGAAAAGCAUCUGGGUUAUGUAUCAUUAUUGCUUUUGUUUUAUGUUCUUCUACUCACAGAUCUAGUUGAUGCAGAGUGAUAGUGAGAGUGGCAUGGUUUGGUGGCUGUUAAUAGUCGAAAAACCCCAAAAGUUAAGGCAAUUGAAGACAAUUUGAGGAGUAUUGUUUAUGGAGGCUGUGCUACUUAGGACAUGUUGAAGUUGCAAUGGAGAGUAGCCACACUUUAAGCAAAUGCAUUUAUGUUUAAUUGUAUAAUGUAAUUUAGCUUCAUUCCCAAAUGCACCAGUUGGUGGUUAAGACAAAGAGAUGACAUAUACAGGACGCCCGUUGGUGGUCAUUCCUUUUGUGCAAAGCUCGUGCCUCCUUGAAUAGCAUUUGUCUGGAUUACAAAUAUGAGAAUUUGGUGGCCAUUCAAAUACAAAUACGAGAAUCUGGCAAUAACGCUACAAAUAUGAGAAUUAUCUUAUGGCAUUUGUCUUGA